rnacentral:rRNA from 1 species
UGCACGAAAGUGCGAUAAGGGAAUCCCAAGUGCUAAUGCUUUGCAUUAGCUUUUGCCAAGAGCAAAAAUCUUGGCGAAUAAGUGAUGGGUAAGACUGGUGCCAGCCGCCGCGGUAACACCAGCGUCACGAGUGGCAUCCAUUUUUAUUGGGUCUAAAGUGUCCGUAGCUGGAUUCGGAAGUCUUCUGUGAAAUCGUUGAGCUUAACUUAACGCAUUGCAGGAGAUACUCCGAAUCUUGAGACCGGGAGGGGCUAGAGGUAUUCCUAGGGUAGCGGUAAAAUGCGAUAAUCCUGGGAGGACCACCUGUGGCGAAGGCGUCUAGUUAGAACGGGUCUGACAGUGAGGGACGAAGGCUAGGGGAGCGAUCCGGAUUAGAUACCCGAGUAGUCCUAGCAGUAAACGCUGCAAGUUAGGUGUUGCAUAACCUUCAGGGUUAUGCAGUAUCGUAGGGAAGCCGUUAAACUUGCCACCUGGGGAGUAC